CAAGGUAACAGAAUCAUUGUUUAUUAUUAUUAAAAUAGAUUAUAGAAAGCAGCAUCUAUUUUGUGCAGUUUUUAGGGGCCUUGGAAAUAAAAAGCUAUGAUUUCCAAAAAUAUAACAUUCCAAAGGAUUGAAUAAUACAUACAUUUAAAGAUACAUUUUAUUAAAGUUUAGGAGAACUGAUUAAAAAAGAUACUGUCUCUUUAAAUUAGUGUGUAAUUGUUUUUCUCCUCCUAUCUAUUCGGACAUGACAAUAAUUAUAAAUGUAGGUCACACUACAACUAGGUAGUCUCUAGGGACCAUGACCUGCUGACACAAGGCCGAUAACAAAGAGACCUUUCCUGGGAGGCUGCUGGGAGGUCCAGGCAAGCCUCAGCUCUCUGGGUACAGCUCUCAAGAAAGGGGACUAGAAGUGAGAUAAAGAGACUUGCUUGAUUCUGUCCUGGCACUGCAGUGGGCAUGCGCAGACACCACAGCAGACAGGAACUCAAUCUUUUCUCUCAGGGCACUCUGAACCA
ensembl:lncRNA CASK-AS1 CASK antisense RNA 1